rnacentral:rRNA from 1 species
UCGAACGGGGAUUACACGGAGAUGCGAUUUCGGUCAAUCAAGUGCAAUCUUAGUGGCGGACGGGUGAGUAACGCGUGGGUAACCUGCCUUGCACUGGGGGAUAACACUUAGAAAUAGGUGCUAAUACCGCAUAAGCGCACGGUCCCGCAUGGGACAGUGUGAAAAACUCCGGUGGUGCAAGAUGGACCCGCGUCUGAUUAGCUGGUUGGCGGGGUAAAGGCCCACCAAGGCGACGAUCAGUAGCCGGCCUGAGAGGGUGGACGGCCACAUUGGGACUGAGACACGGCCCAAACUCCUACGGGAGGCAGCAGUGGGGGAUAUUGGACAAUGGGGGGAACCCUGAUCCAGCGACGCCGCGUGAGUGAAGAAGUAUUUCGGUAUGUAAAGCUCUGUCAGCAGGGAAGAAAGCAAUGACGGUACCUGACCAAGAAGCCCCGGCUAACUACGUGCCAGCAGCCGCGGUAAUACGUAGGGGGCAAGCGUUAUCCGGAAUUACUGGGUGUAAAGGGAGCGUAGACGGCUGUGCAAGUCUGGAGUGAAAGGCGGGGGCCCAACCCCCGGACUGCUCUGGAAACUGUAUGGCUGGAGUGCAGGAGAGGUAAGCGGAAUUCCUAGUGUAGCGGUGAAAUGCGUAGAUAUUAGGAGGAACACCAGUGGCGAAGGCGGCUUACUGGACUGUAACU